GUUGACUGAGGUGGCGGACGGGUGGAGUAACGGCGUGGGUAACCGUCGCCUCACGACAGGGGAGUAACAGUUGAACGACCGCUAAUACGCAUAAGCCACAGGGGCGCAUGCUCUGGUUGGUAAAAGAUUUCUCGGUGUGAGAUGGACCCGCGUCUGAUUAGCCAGUUGGCAGGGUAACGGCCGUACCAAAGCGACGAUCAGUAGCCGGCCUGAGAGGGUGAACGGCCACCAUUGGGACUGAGACACGGCCCAAACUCCUACGGGAGGCAGCAGUGGGGAAUAUUGCACAAUGGGGGAAACCCUGAUGCAGCGACGCCGCGUGAGUGAAGAAGUAUUUCGGUAUGUAAAGCUCUAUCAGCAGGGAAGAAAAUGACGGUACCUGACUAAGAAGCCCCGGCUAACUACGUG
rnacentral:rRNA from 1 species